GCAGGGUUCUCAUAUCUAUGCUGAGAUCUCUAAAGACUGGGUAAGCAAGUUUAUGGAGAAGCUCAGGGAAGGCUGUGCUUAUGAGAUUUGUCAGUUUCUGGUGUUCCCAAAUAAGCGUUACUUUAAGGCCGUCGAUGCAGCAAACAUGAUCUGUUUCAAUAGAUUCACUACGGUCAAUCCUAAUACCGACCUGGAGGUUGCGUUCCCGUUUUGCACUAUGCACCUGUCCAACCUUAGUGUAGAUUAUUUGUAAUCAGUACUAUGCCCCAGUAUACCUGCAUAAGACUACUACCCUUUGCUAUUGUAAUUGUAAUCAGUACUAUCUAGAUGGAUGAUAGCAGGCAAUGUAUACCUGCAUAAGACUACUACCCCUUAGCUCUCUGAUUUAUGAACCUGUCCGGUGUUUAGUUUGGUAUUACGUAUGUACCUCUUCUACUUCUGCUUGUCACUAAGGUUACUUUUCUGUUUCUCUUGCUGUAUUUCUCUUGUGACAAUCCAGCUUCCUAUUUUAUAUUACAACACACGUACGUAAUGGAUACACCUGGGCUCUGCUUCUCUAUGUUGAUAUGAAGGCAUGGAACGUGUUUCUUUCGUUUUCAACAGGAGGCAACAAUCUAGGCCCAUAUAGACACAACGAAAGGCCCGUUUCUUUGUCCAGUGCCUUAUAAAGGACGAGAAGGGCUGACCUAAUAUCCUUGGCUCCCUCCAUAGAACCUGGUGGCGCAAGAGAAGUGCCCUCUAGCACGAAGCUUCGGACAGAAAGGACCUCGCCAGGAAAGGUAAAAGGCAAGUUCUUUUCACCUGCGAUCUU
rnacentral:lncRNA from 1 species